rnacentral:rRNA from 1 species
GACGAACGCUGGCGGCGUGCUUAACACAUGCACGUCGAACGAAGUGGCGAACGGGUGAGUAACGCGUAAUCAACCUGCCCUUCAGAGGGGGACAACAGUUGGAAACGACUGCUAAUACCGCAUACUGAAGGAGGGGAUUGCGUCUGAUUAGCUAGUUGGAGGGGUAACGGCCUACCAAGGCGAUUAUCAGUAGCCGGUCGGAGAGAAUGAACGUCCACAGUGGGACUGAGACACGGCCCAGAAUGCUACGGGAGGCAGCAGGGGGGAAUCGUCCGCAAUGGAGGAAAGUCUGACGGAGCAACGCCGCGUGAGUGAUGACGGCCUGCGGGUUGUAAAGCUCUGUUAAUCGGGACGCGGUACCGGAAUAGAAAGCCACGGCUAACUACGUGCCAGCCGCCGCGGUAAUUC